AAACCAAAGAUUGAAAACCACAAAUUUCCUAGAAUAAUCAAAAGAGAAGGAAUCAA
rnacentral:tRNA from 1 species